UUAUGGAGACACACAGGUGAUAAAAUAAAGAGGAAGUGAUGAUAGUGCUUCAAAAGGUAAAGGAAAAGGUGCGAAGACAGAUGGGCUUGGCACCUGCACAUAUGUCAAAGCAAGGCAUAUCUUAUGUGAGAAGCAAGGGAAGAUUAAUGAAGCAUACAAGAAGCUACAAGAUUGCUGGAAAAUUAAUGGAGAUAAGGUUCCACCUGCUGAGUUCGCAAAGCUAGCAGCAGAAUAUUCAGAGUGUCCAUCAGGGAAGAAGAGUGGAGACUAGGGAUGGUUUCCGCGAGGCAAGAUGGCUGGUCCAUUUCAGGAUGUUGUCUUUAGUAACACCUGUUGGAGCUACCAGUGCACCAUUUAAAUCAACCUAACUCUGUUAUGCUAUUGAUGGUUGCAACAAUAAAGGAUCGGGCCAAUGAGUUAUUCAAGAAGGAAAUGGGCUGAGCAAAAGAAUACAUAGUGUAACAGCUAGAGCUUGAGUUGAAUCAAACCAGGUGGAGAUAAGGUGUUUGGCACCAAACAUAUGGAAGCUUGGUUCUUGUCAAAAAAAGUGAAUUCAGACCCGUGCCGGAGUGGAGGGCCGAGUUCGUGGAGCCGGAGGAGAUUUGGUUGAUCGGGACCACUCAUAUCUCUCUCGAAUCAGCGCUGGAUGUUGAGCGCGUGGUGCGUGCUGUGAAACCAGUACAAUCUGAAUGUUCGAAUUCUUCGAGUCUAGGUGUAGAGCAGUCUACUGAGGAUCAGUAUAUGUAUACUCCGAAAAUAUUGGAAUAUAUGGUACCUUCUGUGGAAUACAUUAUUGCUGUUCUUUCUGUUCUGAGGUGUGGGGAGGCUUUUAUGCGUUUAGAUCCUUUGUGGGCGAAAGAAAGAAUAUCAACCAUUGUUUCUUUGUCAAAUGAGGAUCUUAUUAUUAGAUGCCAAUCUUCAUUUGAUGGAAGUGGCUGUCAUGAGCCUGAUAAAUCAGAUGGGCUUGUUGAUUGUAGCACAUGUCCUGAGUUAUUUAUAUCCAUGAAAGAAAACCUUCAGUAGCAAUGUGGUGGGGCAUACUCCUCAAACUACAGGAGCCAAUUGUACAUACAAUUGUAGCAUGUGGCACAUUGAUGUCAGCAUGUCCAGUGGAGUUCUUAAUUCACAACCAGGGGUUCUAGGAAUAAGAGUCACGAAAGCACGGGUGUUAAGAAGCGAAAGGGACACUUGUAGUGAACUUCAGCCCCAUGUUCUUGAGACCAAAAUGAAGAGUUGGAGAGAGCAACAUUUUGACCAGUGAAGAUCGAAAUUCGACUAAAUCAAAAAUUUCGAUUUUUGCUUGUUUCCUCUUCUUGGCUUGAGGAAAAGAUGUGGUGAUUCCAUCCAACUAGGGGCGUAAAAGUAUGUGUGUUGGGAGUACAAUGCUCUCAUUUUGCGUGACAUUAUUUUGUAAGCCAAGGGUUGUAUUUGUGUGGGUUUGAAUAACCGUUUUGUGUAACCAAGCUUAAGUCUUGGAAAUUUGUAAACCCUUAGGGGUAUUUAUUUGUUUAUUUACUUGUUGUUAGAUUGAUGUAUUGUUGUAUGAAGAACUGUUAUAUCAUGCAAUGUAAGUUUGGAGAUUUAUAUUU